AAGUCGUAACAAGGUUUCCGUAGGUGAACCAGACCACACCUUGGGUAACACCGGGGUCCGCCUUAAAAACACCGCAUGGGAACAACAAGGUCCCUUGGCUUGGAGGUGUAUUCACGAAAAUCUUUUUGGCGCAGAGCUAUGGGUGCCCGCCCUGGCAGGCCCAACCGAAGGAACCUAAGGGAUGGGGACUACCGAGAAUGCACUUUAGUGGGUGACGAUGAAGAACGC
rnacentral:misc_RNA from 1 species